AUUGAACGCUGGCGGCAUGCCUUACACAUGCAAGUCGAACGGCAGCACGGGUGCUUGCACCUGGUGGCGAGUGGCGAACGGGUGAGUAAUAAAUCGGAACGUACCUUAUCGUGGGGGAUAACGCAGCGAAAGUUGCGCUAAUAACGCAUACGCCCUGAGGGGGAAAGCGGGGGACCGUAAGGCCUCGCGUGAUUAGAGCGGCCGAUGUCUGAUUAGCUUGUUGGCGAGGUAAAAGCUCACCAAGGCGAUGAUCAGUAGCUGGUCUGAGAGGACGAUCAGUCACACUAGGACUGAGACACGGCCCAGACUCAUACGGGAGGCAGCAGUGGGGAAUUUUGGACAAUGGGGGCAACCCUGAUCCAGCAAUGCCGCGUGAGUGAAGAAGGCCUUCGGGUUGUAAAGCUCUUUUGUCAGGGAAGAAACAGCAGCUCUAACACAGUCUGCGAAUGACGGUACCUGAAGAAUAAGCACCGGCUAACUACGUGCCAGCAGCCGCAGUAA
rnacentral:rRNA from 1 species